CACAACAAAUGAAUCAUUCUGAUCUCUUCUUCAGACACAUGCUCUUGCUUCUGUACCUGAGAGCAUUCAAAAGACACAGUUUGGGCAGGUAGGAAUCGCUUUGGAUUUCAGCAAAAGGCAACGCAGAAGAUUCUAUACAAAGUCCUAUGUUUCACUCAAAAUUGCUCAGGAGGUCUUCCAGCUUUCAACAGAGCUUUUCAAGGCAUACAGCAAGAAAACCCAGUGAUUCUUUAUACAUUUUCUCCCUGGCACUGAGCACCCUUAGCUGUAACACUGAAGAAAUAAAGGCCAAGGAAAUAUCUGCAAGGAAAGAAAUGGGUUUCUGAAUUCUUCCUCCGGAGUCGUGGCAUUCUAAGUAACCUCAAAGAAGAAAAUCUAAUGAAUCAUUCAGCCCCUGGGACUUCUGGUCAAGAAUUGUUGCAUUGCAAUUUGUGAUAUGUGACAUGGAAUCUGGCUCAAUGUCCAAAGAAGUUAAUCUUUAUAUGUUUUUCGAUUCUUUCUUAUUAAACUUCUAGAUGACUCUA